AUUGAACGCUGGCGGCAGGCCUAGCACAUGCAAGUCGAACGGUAACAUGAACUAGCUUGCUAGUUUGAUGACGAGUGGCGGACGGGUGAGUAAUGCUUGGGAAUUUGCCUUGAGGUGGGGGACAACAGUUGGAAACGACUGCUAAUACCGCAUAUUGUCUACGGACUAAAGGGGGCUUCGGCUCUCGCCUUUAGAGAAGCCCAAGUGGGAUUAGGUAGUUGGUGAGGUAAAGGCUCACCAAGCCGACGAUCCCUAGCUGGUCUGAGAGGAUGAUCAGCCACACUGGAACUGAGACACGGUCCAGACUCCUACGGGAGGCAGCAGUGGGGAAUAUUGCACAAUGGGCGCAAGCCUGAUGCAGCCAU
rnacentral:rRNA from 1 species